CCUACGGGAGGCAGCAGUGGGGAAUAUUGCACAAUGGGGGAAACCCUGAUGCAGCGACGCCGCGUGAGUGAAGAAGUAUUUCGGUAUGUAAAGCUCUAUCAGCAGGGAAGAAACCCACCCUCCGGGGUGGCUGACGGUACCUGACCAAGAAGCCCCGGCUAACUACGUGCCAGCAGCCGCGGGAAUACGUAGGGGGCACGCGUUAUCCGGAGUUCCUGGGUGUAAAGGGAGCGUAGGGGGCAAGGCAAGUCAGAAGUGAAAACCCGGGGCCCAACCCCGGGAGUGCAUUGGAAACUGGCUGGCUAGAGUGCAGGAGAGGUAAGUGGAAUUCCUAGUGUAGCGGUGAAAUGCAUAGAUAUUAGGAGGAACACCAGUGGCGAAGGCGGCUUACUGGACUGUAACUGACGCUGAGGCUCGAAAGCGUGGGGAGCAAACAGGAUUAGAUACCCGUGUAGUC
rnacentral:rRNA from 1 species